rnacentral:tRNA from 1 species
UGUGGCUUAGUUGGUUAAAGCACCGGUUUAGCGAACACGGAGUCGAGGGUUCAAAUCCCUCCA